rnacentral:rRNA from 1 species
ACUCCUACGGGAGGCAGCAGUGGGGAAUAUUGCACAAUGGGCGCAAGCCUGAUGCAGCCAUGCCGCGUGUGUGAAGAAGGCCUUCGGGUUGUAAAGCACUUUCAGUUGUGAGGAAGGUGGUGUCGUUAAUAGCGGCAUCAUUUGACGUUAGCAACAGAAGAAGCACCGGCUAACUCCGUGCCAGCAGCCGCGGUAAUACGGAGGGUGCGAGCGUUAUCCGGAAUCAUUGGGUUUAAAGGGUCCGUAGGUGGACGAUUAAGUCAGGGGUGAAAGUCUGCAGCUCAACUUAGAAUUGCCUUUGAUACUGGUUGUCUUGAAUUAUUGUGAAGUGUUAGAAUAUGUAGUGUAGCGGUGAAAUGCAUAGAUAUUACAUAGAAUACCAAUUGCGAAGGCAGAUCACUAACAAUAUAUUGACACUGAUGGACGAAAGCGUGGGGAGCGAACAGGAUUAGAUACCCUGGUAGGCUCUG